AAUAUUAAAGAAUUUGGCAAAAAUUAUACUCACCUGUUUAACAAAAACAUGUCUUUUUGAAUUUAAUUUAAAGUUGUCCCUGCUCCAUGAAUAAUUUUUAAAUAGCUGCAGUAUACUGACUGUACAAAGGUAGCAUAAUCAUUUGUCUUUUAAUUAAAGGCUGGAAUGAAAGGGUUGAUGAAGUAUAAACUGUUUCAAUAUUAAAAAAUGAAAUUAAAUUUUAAGUAAAAAUGCUUAAAUUAAUUUAAGGGACGAUAAGACCCUAUAGAAUUUAAUAGAUUAAUAAAGUUUUUAAUUUAUUUAUAAAAAAAUUUAUUAAUUUAUUUUAUUGGGGUGAUAUUUAAAUUUAAUAAACUUUAAAUUAAGAAAUCAUAAAUUAAUGUUAAUAAAAAUGAUAUUGUAUUAUAAAUUAUAAGAAAAAUUACCUUAGGGAUAACAGCAUAAUAUCUUUAAGAAGGCCUUAUUUAUAAAGAUGUUUAUGACCUCGAUGUUGAAUUAAGAUAAAUUUUAAAUGCAGAAGUUUAAAAAUUAAGUCUGUUCGACUUUUAAAAUCUUACAUGAUUUGAGUUCAGAUCGGUGUAAGCCAGAUCGGUUUCUAUCUUUA
rnacentral:rRNA from 1 species